CACGUAGGGGGCAAGCGUUGUCCGGAUUUAUUGGGCGUAAAGAGCUCGUAGGCGGUGUGUCGCGUCGGCCGUGAAAACCUGCAGCUUAACUGUGGGCGUGCGGUCGAUACGGGCAUCACUGGAGUUCGGCAGGGGAGACUGGAAUUCCUGGUGUAGCGGUGAAAUGCGCAGAUAUCAGGAGGAACACCGGUGGCGAAAGCGGCUCUCUGGAACGGUACUGACGCUGAGACGCGAAAGCGUGGGGAGCGAACAGG
rnacentral:rRNA from 1 species